CUUGGUCAUUUAGAGGAAGUAAAAGUCGUAACAAGGUUUCCGUAGGUGAACCUGCGGAAGGAUCAUUAUCAUGCGCACUAUGCGCGCUGGCAGGCUGGUUUUGCGGAGAUCGAGAACUCCCUCACAGGAUGAGCUCACUCCUCGACCAGCCCUGACCGAUAUACCCAUGAUUUUUGCGUACCUAUUGUUUCCUCGGCAGGCUUGCCUGCCAGUAGGACCCUUUUCAAAACCCAUUGCAGUUGCAGUCAGCGUCAGAUAAACUUCAAUAGUUACAACUUUCAACAACGGAUCUCUUGGUUCUGGCAUCGAUGAAGAACGCAGCGAAAUGCGAUAAGUAGUGUGAAUUGCAGAAUUCAGUGAAUCAUCGAAUCUUUGAACGCACAUUGCGCCCGCCAGUAUUCUGGCGGGCAUGCCUGUUCGAGCGUCAUUUCAACCAUCAAGCCCCCGGCUUGUGAUGGGGACCUGCGGCUGCCGCAGGCCCUGAAAACCAGUGGCGGGCUCGCUAGUCACUCCGAGCGUAGUAAUACAUCUCGCUCAGGGCGUGCUGCGGGUUCCGGCCGUUAAAAAGCCUUAUUUACCCAAGGUUGACCUCGGAUCAGGUAGGAAGACCCGCUGAACUUAAGCAUAUCAAUAAGCGGAGGA
rnacentral:misc_RNA from 1 species